UACGAGGGGGGCAAGCGUUGUUCGGAAUUAUUGGGCGUAAAGGGCGCGUAGGCGGUGCGGUAAGUCUGAUGUGAAAUCUCCGGGCUCAACUCGGAGUCUGCAUCAGAAACUGCCGUGCUCGAGUGUGGGAGAGGUGAGUGGAAUUCCCGGUGUAGCAGUGAAAUGCGUAGAUAUCGAGAGGAACACCAGUGGCGAAGGCGAGUCCCUGGACAGGUCCUGACGCUGAGGCACGAAAGCUAGGGGAGCAAACAGG
rnacentral:rRNA from 1 species